rnacentral:rRNA from 1 species
UACGUAGGGUGCAAACGUUGUUCGGAAUUAUUGGGCGUAAAGCGCGUGUAGGUUGCCAAGUAAGUUGAAUGUGAAAGCCCUCGGCUUAACCGAGGAAGUGCAUUCAAAACUGCUCGGCUAGAGGAUGGUAGAGGAAGGUGGAAUUCCUAGUGUAGAGGUGAAAUUCGUAGAUAUUAGGAGGAAUACCUGUGGCGAAGGCGGCCUUCUGGGCCAUUCCUGACACUGAGACGCGAAAGCGUGGGUAGCAAACAGG